AUUGAACGCUGGCGGCAUGCCUAACACAUGCAAGUCGAACGGCAGCACAGGGGAGCUUGCUCCCUGGGUGGCGAGUGGCGGACGGGUGAGUAACGCAUGAGAAUCUGCCUGGCAGAGGGGGAUAACCCGGGGAAACUCGGGCUAAUACCGCAUACGCCCUACGGGGGAAAGGGGGCUUUUAGCUCUCGUUGCCAGAUGAGCUCAUGUCCGAUUAGCUAGUUGGCGGGGUAAAGGCCCACCAAGGUGACGAUCGGUAGCUGGUCUGAGAGGAUGACCCGCCACACUGGGACUGAGACACGGCCCAGACUCCUACGGGAGGCAGCAGUGGGGAAUAUUGGACAAUGGGGGAAACCCUGAUCCAGCAAUGCCGCGUGGGUGAAGACGGCCUGCGGGUUGUAAAGCCCUUUCAGUGGGGAAGAAAAGCACGGGGUUAAUACCCCCGUGUGUUGACGUUACCCACAGAAGAAGCACCGGCUAACUCCGUGCCAGCCGCCGCCGUAAAAC
rnacentral:rRNA from 1 species